CACGUAGGCGGGUUAUUAAGUCGGAUGUGAAAUCUCCACGGCUCAACCGGGAAAGUGCAUCCGAAACUGGCAGCCUUGAGGUAUGGAGAGGGAAGUGGAAUUCCUGGUGUAGCGGUGAAAUGCGUAGAUAUCAGGAGGAACACCCGUGGCGAAGGCGGCUUCCUGGCCAUAACCUGACGCUGAGGUGCGAAAGCUAGGGGAGCGAACG
rnacentral:rRNA from 1 species